AUUGAACGCUGGCGGCAGGCUUAACACAUGCAAGUCGAGCGAGCGGCGGACGGGUGAGUAAUGUCUGGGAAACUGCCUGAUGGAGGGGGAUAACUACUGGAAACGGUAGCUAAUACCGCAUACCAUCAGAUGUGCCCAGAUGGGAUUAGCUAGUAGGUGGGGUAAUGGCUCACCUAGGCGACGAUCCCUAGCUGGUCUGAGAGGAUGACCAGACACACUGGAAUUGAGACACGGUCCAGACUCCUACGGGAGGCAGCAGUGGGGAAUAUUGCACAAUGGGCGCAAGCCUGAUGCAGCCUUGCCGCGGGGGUGAAGACGGCCUUCGGGUUGUAAAGCGCUUUCAGCGAGGAGGAGUUACGCGCUGACGUGGCACCGGCUAACUCCGUGCCAGCAGCCGCGGUAAUUC
rnacentral:rRNA from 1 species